UCCUUAUGGACCACCCUCCCCUUAAUUAGAACUGCCGUUCCAAGGUCCGCUUGUACCCGUUCUUCUGAGUACAGCGGGGUUAGCUUGUUCCCUAGUCUUUUGUUAUUCCUUGGGUAAACCUUUUCACCCACUUCAAAGACUCUGUUCUGCCUCGAGAUGUUAAACCUGUCGAUAUUGGCCUUUUGUGCCUUAUCAAUUCUGGUUCUAAUUGCUAACUUCAGAUCGUUGUUGCUUACAUGGAUUGCUUCUACAGGCUUCUGGUCUAUGACCGAAUGUAGUGUCCUGUUGUAUUCUACAGUGGCGCGCAUGAUUAGCUCGACGGUGUCCUCAAUCUUUUGGUCGAGUUUUAUGCACCUUGCUAUCUCUGCCAACGUGCUGUGAAAUCUCUCUACUUCCCCGUUGGAGCUACUAUGUAGAGGGGGUGAAUUUACGAUGUCGAUGCCAUAUUGGUUUUUAAGCAAAGAGGUAAUUGUUUCGGAGUUGAAGGAAGGCUCAUUGUCACAAUAUAUGGUCUUGGUAUUCGGGUAAAAAUUUAUCAAUUGUAUAAUGAGGGCUCGUACCUCUACUAUAGCCCUGGAAGAGAGGGGCUGUACGAUGGCAAACUUUGAGAACUUGUCGAUGCAGGUCAAAAAAAGUUUCUUGUCUGUGGAGAAUAUAUCAAUGUGCAGCAUUUCUCCGGCGUAUGACGGAACAGGGGUGACCCCCAGCUCUUGUUUUUUUGGGUGUCUGUUAUACUUUGCCUUGGUGCAGACUCUGCAGUUCAUAACCACCUCGUUAGCAAGUUUGGUCAUUUUCGGGAAAUAGUAGUCACGAAGGACCUGCUUAACAUUUUCUUGGGCUGCCCUAUGGGCGCGAUUGUGUUCGGCUGUAAUUAUUUCAGCCUGCUCGCUUGCAUCUGUGAUAUCGUUCACGAAGUUUUUGCAAUGCCAGAACUUGGUUGCGGGAAACUCCAGCACCAGAGCAUGUUGGAGGGUAGCUAAAGUCGGAAGAUCACAGUGGAUUGCAUUCACGACCUUGGAAUUGACCACCUCCUUUACUGACUUAAUUAGUGAGUCCUUAUCGUUGAAGUGAAUAAUGUGGCGGGUUUUUCCGCCGAAAAUUAUGAAGUUUCGCCGUAGAGGCUGGCUAGCUUCUUCUAGAAUUAUUUGGUUUCUGAAACAGUUGAGGGGCUUAUCCGUGGUUUCCACUGUGUAAGACAGAGAGAGCUCGCUGUGCACCGUGGCAGCAUCGGACUGAGGCUCUUCGUGUAGGUUAUUAAUGUUUUGUCUGGACAGGGCGUCGGCCACGAAGUUUUCCUUACCCGGUUUGUAGAACACCUUAGCGUUAUGUUCCUCUAUAAAGGCUUUCCACCGUUUGAUUUUGGCAUUUGUGUUCCUAUCGGACACAGCAAAUGUUAAGGGCUGGUGAUCGGUAAAGAUUCUUACUUCCUUGGUACCGUAUAAGUAAUUUUGUAACUUCCCUAUAGCCCAUACAAUUGCCAACAAUUCNUAUAAUGGGGGCUCGUACCUCUACUAUAGCCCUGGAAGAGAGGGGCUGUACGAUGGCAAACUUUGAGAACUUGUCGAUGCAGGUCAAAAAAAGUUUCUUGUCUGUGGAGAAUAUAUCAAUGUGCAGCAUUUCUCCGGCGUAUGACGGAACAGGGGUGACCCCCAGCUCUUGUUUUUUUGGGUGUCUGUUAUACUUUGCCUUGGUGCAGACUCUGCAGUUCAUAACCACCUCGUUAGCAAGUUUGGUCAUUUUCGGGAAAUAGUAGUCACGAAGGACCUGCUUAACAUUUUCUUGGGCUGCCCUAUGGGCGCGAUUGUGUUCGGCUGUAAUUAUUUCAGCCUGCUCGCUUGCAUCUGUGAUAUCGUUCACGAAGUUUUUGCAAUGCCAGAACUUGGUUGCGGGAAACUCCAGCACCAGAGCAUGUUGGAGGGUAGCUAAAGUCGGAAGAUCACAGUGGAUUGCAUUCACGACCUUGGAAUUGACCACCUCCUUUACUGACUUAAUUAGUGAGUCCUUAUCGUUGAAGUGAAUAAUGUGGCGGGUUUUUCCGCCGAAAAUUAUGAAGUUUCGCCGUAGAGGCUGGCUAGCUUCUUCUAGAAUUAUUUGGUUUCUGAAACAGUUGAGGGGCUUAUCCGUGGUUUCCACUGUGUAAGACAGAGAGAGCGCGCUGUGCACCGUGGCAGCAUCGGACUGAGGCUCUUCGUGUAGGUUAUUAAUGUUUUGUCUGGACAAGGCGUCGGCCACGAAGUUUUCCUUACCCGGUUUGUAGAACACCUUAGCGUUAUGUUCCUCUAUAAAGGCUUUCCACCGUUUGAUUUUGGCAUUUGUGUUCCUAUCGGACACAGCAAAUGUGAAGGGCUGGUGAUCGGUAAAGAUUCUUACUUCCUUGGUACCGUAUAAGUAAUUUUGUAACUUCCCUAUAGCCCAUACAAUUGCCAACAAUUCCCUUUCGUUUGUGGCGUAGUUUACUUCACAAUCUUUUAGUGUUCGCGAGAUCAUUGUGAUUGGCCUGCCGUUUUGGGACAGGACCGCCCCAAUGCCGCUUGCUGAGGCAUCGGUAGUUAGCGUUUUAGCACUGUGUCGAUGUGUUUAACGUGAUCAUUUUCGUUUUCGGAAAAAAUUAUUACAUCAUCUACAUAGACAUAACAUAUUUUCCCAAUUUGUUCUCGUAGAACAUCGUCGAUUGCCCUUUGGAAAAUGCUCCCAGCAUUCUUUAGUCCAAAGGGUAACCGGCAAAACUCGUAUUUCCCUCCGUUAAUUGAAAACGAAGUUUUUUCACGGUCUUUUUCCGCCAUGUAUAUCUGGUGGUACCCUGAUUUUAGAUCUAGGGUAGUAAAAAAUCUUGCCUUUCCCAAGUUCGCUAGAAUCAUGGGUAUGCUCGGCAUAGGGUAUCGAUCGGCAAUUGUUCGCUCGUUCAGUUUUCUGAAGUCGAUUACCAGCCGCUUUUUCCUGUUGCCUUUGACGUCAGAUUUCUUUUUGUCUACAACCCAAAUUGGGCUGUUGUAUGGCGACCUAAAUGGCCUGAUUAUGCCGUCCUUCAGCAGUUCUUUGACUUCUUUGUUAACGAAGUCUGCUGCUCCCAUAGGGUAGGGGUAUAAUUUCGAGUAGACUGGUUCGUC
rnacentral:lncRNA from 1 species